rnacentral:rRNA from 1 species
GAUGAACGCUAGCGGUGUGCCUAAUGCAUGCAAGUCGAACGGGAUCCUUUGGAUUCGUCUGAAGGUGAGAGUGGCGAACGGGUGAGUAACACGUAGGUGACCUGCCCCGGAGAGGGGGACAACCACUGGAAACGGUGGCUAAUACCCCAGAUGUUAUUGCGCUUAGAAAGCAAUUACUAAAGUUCCGGCGCUCCGGGAGGGGCCUGCGGCCCAUCAGCUUGUUGGUAAGGUAAUGGCUUACCAAGGCUAAGACGGUAGGGGGCUGAGAGCGUGACCCCCCACACUGGUACUGAGACACGGACCGAGAUACCUGCGGGUAGCAGCAGCAAGGAAUAUUGCCCAAUGGACGAAAGUCUGAGGCAGCAACACCGCGUGGAGGAUCGAAGGCC